rnacentral:rRNA from 1 species
CUGAAAGCAUCUAAGCAUGAAGCCCCCCUCAAGAUGAGAUUUCCCAUAGCGCAAGCUAGUAAGAUCCCUGAAAGAUGAUCAGGUAGAUAGGUUCGAGGUGGAAGCGUGGCGACACGUGGAGCUGACGAAUACUAAUCGAUCGAGGACUUUUCCUA